AGCAGCCGCGGUAAUUCCAGCUCCAAUAGCGUAUAUUAAAGUUGUUGCAGUUAAAAAGCUCGUAGUUGAAUUUCGGAAUCAGUACGCUGGUCGUGCCUUCGGUAUGUACUGGUGUCACUGGUUUCUCCCUUCUGAAGAACCAUCAUGCCAUUCACUUGGUGUGGUGGGAAAUCAGGACUGUUACUUUGAAAAAUUGAGUGUUUAAAGCAGGCUCGCGCUUGAAUACAUUAGCAUGGAAUAAUGAAAUAGGACGUUAAUCCUAUUUUGUUGGUUUCUAGGAUCGACGUAAUGAUUAAUAGGGAUAGUUGGGGGCAUUAGUAUUCAAUUGUCAGAGGUGAAAUUCUUGGAUUUAUUGAAGACUAACUACUGCGAAAGCAUUUGCCAAGGAUGUUUUCAUUAAUCAAGAACGAAAGUUAGGGGAUCGAAGACGAUCAGAUACCGUCGUAGUCUUAACCAUAAACUAUGCCGACUA
rnacentral:sRNA from 1 species